UCCUGGCUCAGGACGAACGCUGGCGGCGUGCCUAAUACAUGCAAGUAGAACGCUGAAGGGAGAGCUUGCUCUUCUGGAUGAGUUGCGAACGGGUGAGUAACGCGUAGGUAACCUGCCUGGUAGCGGGGGAUAACUAUUGGAAACGAUAGCUAAUACCGCAUAACAUUGACUAUUGCAUGAUAGUCAAUUGAAAGGUGCAAAUGCACCACUACCAGAUGGACCUGCGUUGUAUUAGCUAGUUGGUGGGGUAACGGCUCACCAAGGCGACGAUACAUAGCCGACCUGAGAGGGUGAUCGGCCACACUGGGACUGAGACACGGCCCAGACUCCUACGGGAGGCAGCAGUAGGGAAUCUUCGGCAAUGGACGGAAGUCUGACCGAGCAACGCCGCGUGAGUGAAGAAGGUUUUCGGAUCGUAAAGCUCUGUUGUAAGAGAAGAACGAGUGUGAGAGUGGAAAGUUCACACUGUGACGGUAUCUUACCAGAAAGGGACGGCUAACUACGUGCCAGCAGCCGCGGUAAUACGUAGGUCCCGAGCGUUGUCCGGAUUUAUUGGGCGUAAAGCGAGCGCAGGCGGUUAGAUAAGUCUGAAGUUAAAGGCUGUGGCUUAACCAUAGUACGCUUUGGAAACUGUUUAACUUGAGUGCAGAAGGGGAGAGUGGAAUUCCAUGUGUAGCGGUGAAAUGCGUAGAUAUAUGGAGGAACACCGGUGGCGAAAGCGGCUCUCUGGUCUGUAACUGACGCUGAGGCUCGAAAGCGUGGGGAGCAAACAGGAUUAGAUACCCUGGUAGUCCACGCCGUAAACGAUGAGUGCUAGGUGUUGGGUCCUUUCCGGGACUCAGUGCCGCACCUAACGCAUUAAGCUACUCCGCAUGGGGAGUACGACCGCAAGGUUGAAAACUCAAAGGAAUUGACGGGGGCCCGCACAAGCAGUGGAGCAUGUGGUUUAAAUUCGAAGCAAACGCGAAGAACCUUACCAGGUCUUGACAUCCCGGUGCCCGUCCUAGAGAUAGGAUUUUGCUUCGGCACACCGGUGACAGGUGGUGCAUGGUUGUCGUCGGAUUGUGUCGUGAGAUGUUGGGUUAAGUCCCGGCAACGAGCGCAACCGUUAUUGUUAGUUGCCAUCAUUGAGUUGGGCACUCUAGCGAGAACUGCCGGUAAUAAACCGGAGGAAGGUGGGGAAUGACGUCAUAUCAUCAUGCCCCUUAUGACCUGGGCUACACACGUGGUACGAAUGGGUGGUACAAACGAGUGGCAAGUCGGUGUCGGCGAGCUAAUCUGUUAAAGCCUGUCUCAAGUUCGGAUUGUAGGCUGAUACGUGCCUGACAAUGAAGUUGAGAAUCGCUAGUAUUCGCGAUUCAGGCACGCCGCGGAUAUACGGUUCCCGGGCUUUGUACUCACCGCCCGUC
rnacentral:rRNA from 1 species